rnacentral:tRNA from 2 species
CGGGGUGUAGCUCAGUCUGGUAGAGCACUGCCUUCGGGAGGCAGGGGUCGUAGGUUCAAAUCCUGCCACCCCGACCA